UCUACAAAAUAGAAUCUUUGAAACAAGUGAGUAUGCAGUAUAUGUUUUUCAAAGCAGCACAAUACUAACACGAGUUCAGUAAACACUAGCGACUCAGUUAAGGAACAUCAAUCCAUAAUCAGUUCAUUCCCCAGGUUCAUCAUUCAAAUAUGUAUUUCAACAACGAUUUGCUCUCAACAUGGUUAUAAUCAAUUAAGAACUCAAAUCAACAUGAAAAUGAAAGGCGAAAUCGAGUUGUGAUAAAAAAACCAAAUUGAAAAAAAUUCUCAAUCCCUAAAUCAUCUCA
rnacentral:lncRNA from 1 species